GGUGGGCGUAUCCUGAUGAUUGGCAGCUAAUGGGCGUGAGCAUUUUCAGCGCCGAAGAACAGAGAAUGUACACAUUUUGUGCCUAUGGGAAAACUCUGACAAGUCACAAGCCAAUAGCCAUGGGACUGACAGGAACCUGCUAACUAUGUGUGAAUCAUGAAUGAAUUUCGACGACAUAUCCAUUGUAUUAAAUCUGAAUACUGU
rnacentral:misc_RNA from 1 species